rnacentral:rRNA from 1 species
GACGAACGCUGGCGGCGUGCUUAACACAUGCAAGUCGAACGGAAAGGCCCUGCUUUUGUGGGGUGCUCGAGUGGCGAACGGGUGAGUAACACGUGAGUAACCUGCCCUUGACUUUGGGAUAACUUCAGGAAACUGGGGCUAAUACCGGAUAGGAGCUCCUGCUGCAUGGUGGGGGUUGGAAAGUUUCGGCGGUUGGGGAUGGACUCGCGGCUUAUCAGCUUGUUGGUGGGGUAGUGGCUUACCAAGGCUUUGACGGGUAGCCGGCCUGAGAGGGUGACCGGCCACAUUGGGACUGAGAUACGGCCCAGACGCCUACGGGAGGCAGCAGUGGGGAAGAUUGCACAAUGGGCGGAAGCCUGAUGCAGCAACGCCGCGUGCGGGAUGACGGCCUUCGGGUUGUAAACCGCUUUCGCCUGUGACGAAGCGUGAGUGACGGUAAUGGGUAAAGAAGCACCGGCUAACUACGUG